AAUAAGUGUAGUUUUAGACCGUUCAUGUUCAACGUUUGAUCGUUCGUUUUAUUUAAUUUUUUUAUUAAUUAUUAUUAUUAUUAUUAUUAUUAUUAUUAUUAUUAUUAUUAUUAUUAUUAGACAAUAAAACAUGAAUAUAAAUUUAUAUGUGACUAACUAUUUUUAAUUUUUUAAUAAAUUUUUAAAAUAAGAUGGACGGUUAAAUGUUAGACACGGAUACUCACGACUGUACUUAUU
rnacentral:pre_miRNA from 1 species